GCUGGGAUGGCCGAGUCGUUAAGGCGAGUGAUUUGAACUAUUGCUUAUGUAAUCAGCUUAUUAUGUAAGCAUCAAAUUAUCACUUGGUGUUUCACCGCGUAGGUUCAAAUCCUGCUUCCAGCG